AUUGAACGCUGGCGGCGUGCCUAAUACAUGCAAGUAGAACGAGUUGCGAACGGGUGAGUAACGCGUGGUAACCUGCCUCAUUGCGGGGGAUAACUAUUUGAAACGAUAGCUAAUACCCCCUACCAUCAGAUGUUCCCCGAUGGGAUUAGCUUGUUGGUGGGGUAACGGCUCACCAAGGCGACGAUCCCUAGCUGGUCUGAGAGGAUGACCAGCCACACGGGAACUGAGACACGGUCCAGACUCCUACGGGAGGCAGCAGUGGGGAAUAUUGCACAAUGGGCGCAAGCCUGAUGCAGCCAUGCCGCGUGUAUGAAGAAGGCCUUCGGGUUGUAAAGUACUUUCAGCGGGGAGGCGUUACCCGCAGAAGAAGCACCGGCUAACUCCGUGCCAGCAGCCGCGGUAAUAC
rnacentral:rRNA from 1 species